rnacentral:misc_RNA from 1 species
AUUUGAAUAGUAAAAGGAUUAUAGUAGGUUUUGCUUUGCUAUUUACGUAUCUAUUAAGUCAAGUAACAUUAAAUAAGGUGCACAUGAAUGAAGGAAAUGACUGCUUUAGUAUAUAAAGUCGGAAGUUGAUAUAUCUGCGGUAGGAAAUGGAGAAAUGGGUUGAGAAGAGCAACAUUUACGAGAAAAUAUCUCAAAUUCUCAAAUGGGUAGACCUUUAUCGACUUAAGAAUGAUUUAGGGAAAGCGACAUAAUAAAAACGAUCAUUUCCAUCAAAACGAACGAAACCGUUAGUUUAAUCUAAACGAAUCUUCCUUCGCGAAAAAUGUAGUGUAAAGUAGUGUUUGUACGCGCGGUAAAAGUGCGGGAUUCGCGAGUGAAAACGUGAUGAAAACCUUCUUUUAAUAUGGAAUUGAGGCACCGAUUUUUGGAUGUGGGAGUCAAAAUCGGGCGGAGUAUCCACAUCGCUGAAAGCUUUAAAGAUGAAUUUGCGGUUGUAAAUUUUUAUCCGGGAGGCCAGUGGAGUUGAUUUCGUCCUGAUUGACAGAGGUCCAUGUAACGUGGAUCUACCGACGGGGUAAUGGUGCUCUUCGAAGCCUUUAUUACCCUGCUGUUAGUAACCAACACUGCUAAGACAGAGCAGAUGGCAGUGUUGGUAUCCGGACAGAUAGUUUUGGGAGGCUUAAUUCCCAUCCACGAAAAGGGCGAAUCGUCACCAUGUGGGGACAAAAUUUACAACCGCGGUGUCCAAAGGUUGGAAGCGAUGUUAUUCGCUAUUGAUAUGAUAAAUGCGGAUCCCGAUCUACUACCAGGAAUAAUAAUCGGGGUCCACAUUUUGGAUACUUGCUCUAGAGAAACGUACGCUUUAAACCAAACCCUACAAUUUAUAAGGGCUUCCUUAAACGCCAUUGACUCUUCAAUCUUAGAAUGCGGCGAUCAUUCUUUGCCUCGGUUUAAGUUUAACUUUACCGGCCCUGUCUUUGGCGUAAUUGGUGGUUCCUACAGUACAGUAUCGUUACAAGUGGCCAAUUUACUUGGUUUAUUUCACAUUCCUCAAAUAUCACCCGCAUCUACUGCCAAAGCUCUGAGCGAUAAGUCUCGAUUUGAAUAUUUCGCUCGGACUGUACCACCUGAUACCUUUCAAUCAAUCGCCCUUGUCGAUAUUGUCACAAGCAUGGGUUGGUCUUACGUCUCAACCGUUUACUCCGAAGGAUCUUAUGGAGAGCAUGGGAUAGAGGUAUUCCAUAAAGAAGCCCAGGAAAGAGACGUUUGCAUUGCCGUGUCCGAAAAAGUACCACGAACUGCUGACGACAAACAAUUCGAUAACAUCAUUAACAAAUUAAGAAAGAAAAGCAACGCCAAAGCCGUAAUUCUAUUCACCAGGGCUGAAGAUGCAAGAGGGAUAAUGCAAGCCGUUAAACGUUUGAACGCAUCCAAUGAGUUCUACUGGGUUGCAAGCGACGGAUGGGGUAAACAGAAGAAGAUAGUCGAAGGGGUUGAAGAUCUCGCUGAGGGAGCCAUCACUGUGGAAUUGUCGUCGUCUAAUGUACCUGGUUUUGAUGAAUACAUGCAAAGCUUGACACCGGAAAAUAACAAGAGGAACCCCUGGUUCGAGCAGUACUGGGAAGAUACAUUCGGAUGCGUUCUGCCAAAAAAUGUCCCUCUCGUAACAGAUAAGCCAUUCAACGUCUGCCCACCAGACUUGAAAUUAUCCGAAAAAGUUGGAUACGAACAAGACAGCAAGGUACAGUUUGUGGUUGAUGCCGUCUACGCUUUUGCCUAUGCAUUAAAUAACCUUUACCGAGAUGUUUGCUUGAAAAAGAAGAGAUUCGGCGUUUGCCCUGAAAUGAAGCAGUACGAUACUGGGGACUUUUACAAAAAAUAUCUCCUCAACGUCUCCUUCAUAGAUCUUGCCGGAAAUCCCGUUCAAUUCGACGAAAGAGGUGAUGGACUUGCUCGCUAUGACAUCUUGAAUUUCCAAAAAACUGACAACGGUUUAGGCUAUCAUUACAAACUUGUCGGUAAAUGGUUCAACAAACUCGAAUUAAAUCACAGCGAAAUAAUUUGGAAGAACAAUGUCAGUGAUAUACCGAUCUCAGCCUGCUCUCUACCAUGUGGACCUGGAAUGAUCAAGAAGCAACAGGGCGAUACUUGCUGCUGGAUAUGCGAUAAAUGCGAAGAUUUCGAAUACGUUUUCGACGAAUUCACCUGCAAAGAUUGCGGCAACGGAUCCUGGCCGUAUCCUGACAAGAAAUCGUGCUACCCGCUGGAAAUUCAGUACUUGAACUGGUCGUCACCUUUUGCCCUGAUCCCUCUCGCAUUCUCCGUCCUCGGAAUUAUUGCAACCCUCUCAGUUAUAUGCCUAUUUAUAAAACACAAUGACACGCCAUUAGUCCGCGCUUCUGGAAGAGAGCUCAGCUACAUGCUCCUAGUUGGCAUUCUGCUUUGCUACAUGAAUACGUUUGUUCUCUUGGCUAAACCAACCACAGGCAUAUGCAUUGGACAAAGAUUUGGCAUUGGUGUCAGUUUCUCCAUCAUUUACGGCGCGUUGCUCACAAAAACAAACAGGAUUUCAAGAAUCUUCGAUUCGGCCUCCAGAUCGGCCAAACGUCCCAAGUACAUCAGUCCAAGAUCCCAAGUUUGCAUCACUUCCGGCCUCAUUGCUAUUCAGAUUAUACUCACCUUGGUAUGGAUGGCCCUCGAAUACCCCGGUACCAAAUUCUACUAUCCCAGCCGCAAACAGAUCAUAUUGAAAUGCAAGAUUCAGGACAUGUCCUUUUUGUUUUCUCAACUUUACAACAUGCUUCUUAUUACCAUAUGCACCGUCUAUGCAGUCAAGACUAGAAAAAUUCCGGAAAAUUUCAACGAAUCAAAAUUCAUAGGAUUCACGAUGUACACCACCUGCGUUAUUUGGCUUGCUUUCGUCCCGAUCUACUUUGGAACAGGAAAUUCAUAUGAGAUCCAGAUAACAACCCUCUGCAUAGCGAUUAGCAUGAAUGCAACAGUGGCUUUGGUUUGCCUCUAUUCUCCAAAACUUUACAUUAUUCUCUUCCACCCCGACAAGAAUGUGAGAAAAUUAACAAUGAAUACUGCAACUUACAAAAGGAGUCAUUCAACUCCAGGCUCUAGUCACACUCCAUCAUCAGCUGCUAACAAAGUUUGGAUAAUAUCAAAUUUAAAUCAAACUUACACCGCAACUACUGCAGCCACCGAAAAAUAGACACAUACUAUAUGCAUACACAAUGACAGACAUUCAGAAUGAUACUAAAAUGGGAACGAAAAAAAAAAUUGAAUUGAUACUGAACCGGAAAACAUUAAAUAGACAAACAUAAAACACCUACUAAGACAGUCUUACAAUAAAUAUUGUACCUAAAAAUCAACAGAUACAUUGAAAGAAGAAAUCGACAACUAUUGUACUUAAACUUCUUUCGAAGGAAUACUUACCUGCACUUUCUGAGGGUUUGGACGUUCUGGGAUAGACGAAGAUUCCAAUGGGUUCUUCUUGCCCCAGUUAUGCUCCCCCAAAUUUACAAAUAUGCUAAUUUUAGCGAAUUCAUGUAUCAAUCAGUUAAACCUUACCCUACUCAUCGAUCCCUCAGCUUCCAAUUAAAAUCACCUUAUAAUUGAAUAAUAUCACCAAACAAUUUUUUUUUCGCGAUUUUUCUGAAAAUAACCGGUUGCUACGCGAUUUCAUUAAUUUUCGCAUAUUAGCCAAGCUAAUUUUAAUUCAACAUCAAUAUAGUUCUAAAUGUGGUUAUCAGUGUUCUUACAUAUUAACGUAAAAGGUCUGCAUUGACCUAAUAAAGCAAAAUACGCUUUUCUUUGUACAAAAUACUCAAAUCACAUCUCCAUAAACAAUUCAAUAUUCUUUUCGUUUUUGUUUUUAUAUAUGUUUUUUAUUUUUGUCAUCAUUAAUUUAAUUUAAGGUUCUUCUAAUUUUUAACUUAUGAAAGGAAUCAUAGCAGACGUUUUUGAAAACGAAUGAUACGAAAGAAAUAUGAUUACCGGUAAAUAAUUAUUAAUAAAAACUUAUUCAAAUUGAAGAUUUGAACGUAUAAUUAUUCCCUCCAUUCCAGUAUGUCAAACGUUUUUGCGUAUUUUGAUCAGUCUAGAUGUUUACGUGUUGGCGGUGGGGGUAUUAUUGCUUUAUUCCGCGAAUUUAAUGCUUUAAUCGUAACAAUCAAAUAUUUUUGGCUUCGUUAUUGAUUAAAUUCAGUAAUUUAUAACAGUAAACGUUUUGGAAAACGUAUGGUUUAGAAAAUAUAACAAUCGGCAAGAUUCAAAAUCAGUCAAAUCAAAUAAUUUACAAUGUGUCAAAAGAGAUUGCGGUUUCCGCUUUCCGGUCAGUAGUGCGGUUGGCGUGGUCGUGGUCGCGUUGUUCUCGGUUUGUUCAUGUGUUAGAGAGAUUUUUAAAAGCUAAUAAAAAAAUAAAACAAAAGAAAUACCAUUUUUUACGUUCAAGAUCUUCAAGUCUUGCAGUUGAUGUUCGUGGUCAGUUAGCUAUUAUUUAAUUUACUAUCAAAAUGGGUUCCUCAAAGUGCCGAUCGGAGAAUAACGUACCUAAAACGUAUUGUUUUGUUUUCGAUUGUUUUUAUUUGUGAAUAAAGCUGUAAUCGUGAUAAUAAUGAAAGUGAUAGUUAUGUGUGUACGGGUCAAUUUUAAUUAAACAAUGAAUGUAGAUACGCUUUUCAUACGGUGAACGUUGAAUUCUAACCUAAAAACAUCAAAUCACAUUGGGAAUGUUUGUGAUAUCAAGGAAAACUUAUUGUUCAUGGUAAGCAAUUUUUUACACUCCAAGUUUAAUUUGUGGAAAUUAUGUAACUAAUUCUCGCUUUAAAUAUUGCGGUACGUGCUUGCGUUGUAAUAUUAACCGUUAUAAUAUGGAAAAGGUUAUUUGAAAAUUAAGAUAUGGGUAACAACCAACAUUUAUAAAUUUGUAAAACAGUGGAGUAAUAACAGUUCCGUGGGGAUUUGAAUGUAGAUAAUUAGAUAUUGUCUUAAAGUCGAAAUUGGCUUUAUUGAAAAUAUUUCCCCCAAGAUCUCCGUUUUUAUUAAUAACAUAUUGGAAUGUUGCAAUAUAACAAGCUUUUGAAAAGCAGUAAAAAAGGCGAACGUGUAUUAUUAAGCGUUCAAUACUUAAUUUUACACAAUUGUCGUACCUGUUAGGUACACACUUUCUUUUUUUUUCCCUAUAAUUUUAGUAUCUCUUUAGUUAAAUCAGCACAUUCAUAAAAAAUUUUGAAACAUCUUUUCGAAUAUCCGUGUCUCUAAAUGGAAGUCAAUUGUUACUGUUUGGUGUUAUUACAAUUUGUCGACGUAUAAUACAUACUCCAACAAUGUUAAAUGUUUCUUAAAAUACUAAAAAUUAAUACAACAAAGCGUAGCAGUUUCUAAAAUAAUUAAACAAUAGUACUUGUCUUUCCAAUUUUUUUAAUAGUCGUUAUUGCAGCUGUUACACGUAAUAUAAACGUCGUAUGUUUUUAGAUUGGAAGUCAUAAAAUCGAAUGACUAAUAAUUUAAUUAAUUUUUAAUAACUUUUUCGACUUGCGAAAAAGAAUUAAUUUUUACCGUAGUAUUUAUUGUUUGUGAUUCAUGGCAGAAAUAACUAUAGGAACACAACAGUGUUAUUUAAUGUUUUAGUCCGUCUACUUAUGCAAUGUACCUACUUACGUGAUAUAAAUGUUGCCUAACUUUCAAAUCGGUGUUAUAAAUGGAAUUUAUUGUUAAUGGCUAUUAUUCAACUACAUUUACCUUGAUAAUAUCUGAAACUUGAUAAUUCUCAACCUCUUAACGUUUAAGUAAUAAUUCUCGUUUAUUUCCCUCUUUUUUUUUAAUACACAUAGUAACGAUAUAUCGGAUCAAAAACGUAAACGUGCUUGUUGUAUUUAACUAUAUUAAAAACAUUCCUGUUCAUCCUGUGAUUGAUGUUAUAAGAUAUCCAAACUGUCGUUCAAAACUUUCUCCUAAAAUAAAGAUUAUGUCUGUUGUGAAAAUUAUGGGUUGCUAGUUUUGUCUAUUUAUAUUCUUUAAAAUUGGAAAAUAAGAAACACUUUCAAUUGAAAUAUUGUUUAUACACAGUAUAAUAGAACAAAAAAUACAAAAUACUAUUCAUUAAUGUUCAUUUAUUUUACAUAGAACAACAGUUUCCACUGUUGGUUUUUGUCCCUUGAAAAUAGUGUUACUGUGUUUUAAAUAUAAUUCUAGUUGUUUUUCCCAAUUUUAAGCAAUGUAAAAGAUAACAUUCUGUAUCCCAAGAUGAAACAUAUCAAAAAUAUGCGUCUAAAGCGUAUUUACUUCACCUAAGUACCUAAAAUAUUUGUAUUAAAAUAAGCUAUACAUACUCGUUUUAGUCAUUCAUGUAUGCAGUUGUUUAUUUUUAACAUCUUAUAAAAAUAAUCGAUGUUAUUCCACAUUAUACAUAAAUAAAAAGCGCAUUAUGAUUUGCACAAUUUUUAUUAAAUAAGUUUAUGUUGUUUCGCCACACUGUCGCUUCUUCUCAGAAGUUGCAAUGGAAACGUUACAGUUAAGCUCACUUAAUAAAUGUUGUGAAUCUCAUACUGUGCUUCGUAUUUAUGUAUUUUAUAAAUGUUUCUUUGUAAUGUUAAGAAUACUACUGUUGCUUGCGUGUUACAGAAUUUAAAUUAUAUGAUAAAAGUUAAAUAAAAUAUAUGUGUCAGGCAAUAUUUUUUAAAUACCUAAACUGUACCACCACCAUCAUUCUCAAAGCACCGAAUUUAAACAAUACAUUGAAAUGUUUUUUCAUCAUUUAUUAGAAAAGGAAAAGCAUUUAAAUUUCUUGUACUACUUUAAGUACAAAAACUAAAUAGCCUUGUUUAUUUGAAUACAAGAAGUCACAAAAAUAUGUAGUUUCAUUAAAAACUAUCAACCAACACAAGGAUAACAAUAUUUGAACAGAAUAGUUAUGUAUAUGGAACAAGGUGAUAAAUAAAAACACUUAUAACAUAUUAAUGGGAAAAAAAUUAAAUUCAAUCAACAGACAGAUGAAAAUGUUUGAGCAAUAAUAAGGCAUCCCAAUCGAUCGACAAUUAAUCGAUUUUUUUCACACCUCGAGCUCUCCAUGCUUUUAUCAAGCUCCA